UACGUAGGGCGCAAGCGUUAUCCGGAAUUAUUGGGCGUAAAGAGCUCGUAGGCGGUUUGUCGCGUCUGCCGUGAAAGUCCGGGGCUCAACUCCGGAUCUGCGGUGGUACGGGCAGACUAGAGUGAUGUAGGGGGAGACUGGAAUUCCUGGUGUAGCGGUGAAAUGCGCAGAUAUCAGGAGGAACACCGAUGGCGAAGGCAGGUCUCUGGGCAUUACUGACGCUGAGGAGCGAAAGCAUGGGGAGCGAACAGG
rnacentral:rRNA from 1 species